ACCUUCCAUCCAACAGCAAGGUAAGGUUUCCUUUGGUAGAUUAAUUUCAAAAGUAUAUGUUUAACUUGGAAAAUUAAACAUAUACUUUGAAAUUAAUCUAGCAAAAGGAAACCUUACCUUGCUGUUGGAUGGAAGGUGAUU
rnacentral:miRNA from 1 species